ACGACGCAGAUAUUUGUGUGUGUGCGCUGCGCUCCACAAGCGCGCGCACACGCCUGUAUGCUGUGUGUGCCCGGGUGCUGAAAGCAGUGAACAGUCUAAGAAUGAAUGAACAAUUCUACCAGUAAAGCUAUUAAUGUUUUGGUAAAUACUACAGCUGCCGUUUAUAAACGAGUCAUUUGACUGUGACCAUGCUGGAGCACUGCCUUAAACGGAUUUAAUUGAAGAAAUCAACCCCAGGACUUAUUCUUUUUGUUUUGCAGCCAUUCACAGUAUUUCCAAGGCUAGUCAGAAAAAAGGAAGGAAAGUAUCCUCAAAUCAAAUAAAUGGCUCCAAAACUUGUGACAAAAUAGAUUUGGCUAAUGCCUUUGCAAAUCCUCUACAUUCAGGACCUAAGUCUCUUAUAAGGGUAGGCUCUACGAUUCCUGCUGCCCAUAAAAAACCCACAGCUCACUCAUGUCAGUCAUGUGAUCUUAUUUGUAACCUGACACUAUGAAACGAGUCACAAACAAUGAGUGUAACAUCAACCCUCAGGAACUCUAGAAUCUGUAGUUCUCAGCAAUUGUUCAAGAGGAAGAUCAUCAAAUCACAAUGAUCUCACACUCACCAGUCUUGGAUAACUUGCAAAGACCAUAAGUACAACCUCACCUGCAUUCUCCCACACAUCAAGUAUAUAUCAAAAACACAACCACAAUGGUGAUGGUGGUGGUGGUGGUGGUGGUGGGGUUGACCCAGCUGAUGUAAUCAACAAUUAACAGGUGAAAGAAGUGAAGUAAGGUUGACUGAAUGUGCUCAUUCUUUGUUAUCUAAUGUCUUUGUAAUAAUCUACAACCACCACUGCUAGAAGAAGGAAAAAGUUAAAAGCAAUUUAUCAAGCGAGUAGAAGGUCAGUAAAUCUGAUAGUAAUGAAAGGCAGCUUGUAUGAAAAAUUUCCCCAGGCUUUCAAAUUUGAACAAUAUGCGGUGUUAUAAUACUCAUACAAUGGUAAAAAAAAAAAAAAAAAAGAAAAAGAAAAAAUGUGUAGUCAUAUUCUGUGACAUUACAGUCGAACUAGUACAAGAACAAAAAAAAAAUGAAUAAAUAAAUAAAAUAAGAUAAAUAAAUAAACUGAAUAAAGAAAUAUAUAAAAAAAUCACAAACAAAAAUAAAGAACCAAACAAACAAAUAAA